CGCGGGGGGAGGAGGCGACAGCCAAUCAACAGCGAGGCGAGAGGGAACUAGCCAAUCAGGACUGGGGGAGGAGAAGACGGCCUCUGAUUGGGUGAGUAGGUGACGCGUGGGGGUUAAUACUUCCCGAAGACUCCCGAGAAGCAGGACCGUGGUGACUGCUCACCUCAUCCCGGGGGGAGGGGAACGGGGAACGUCUCCCCUGCUGUGGGGGCGGAGCGUGAGGCGAGACACCCCUUCCCCCCCGGGGGAGGAGGCAGCCGGUCGCAGGGGCGCGCACGGCUUGGGUGGCUCUGGCUCCUGGGGGCCUGCGGCUGGGGCGUGAGCAGUGGCGUAGCUGCCCCGGAAGUUCCCUUGUUGCUGGGCUGUGGCGAGGCCCCGGCCAGCGGGGAAGGAGGUUUUCUGUCAGACGGGGAAGGCUCCCCUGGCUGGCUGUUGACGUGGACGUUCAGCAUUGUGUGUUUCGCAAUGGGGCUCUGCUCGCCAGCCCGACCUGGGCGCUAAUGAAGGGCUGUGGAAACUUCAAAGAGGAAACGGGAAGAGGAAGAACGAACCGAGGGGGGGGGGAAACCCGAGCUUGAGAUGGGCGUCAAAGGUUUCAUGUAGCGGGGGGACAAAGAAGACACCCUGGCAUCCUUCGCCUCCGACAGUGGCUUUCAGCCUGUGGACCCCGCAGUCUAUGUCCAAGAUUUCCAACGGGCUCUGCACCUCUCCUUGAAAAGCAUUUUAGGGGGGUCUGCAAAUGAAAAAAGGUUGAAACCCACGGCCCUGGGAAGUAAACAGUAAGUUUACUUCAUGAAAGCGGCGUUGGUGGAAAAUUUUGGAAAGAACUCUGCGUGAAAUCAGAUCCUUUAGCCAGGAGAAUCGCUUGUUAGUCACGUCAAAAGCUGAUGGUUCUCCAGAAGAUUGAUCUCCUUCAUUCCUCCCUGAGCCAAACCAGUGCCCUUUUCAAAUUCCAGCUAUCUUGGUACGUAAGUGCUGAUGUGGGAAAGAAUAUUAUCCUCACAAUCUAGUGCCUUGUCUGCAUUGAUGAUUUUCUCUAACUGUUGCUCCGUCAUCAUUUUAGCUCCACUGGUGCUAAUGAUGGCCUUGUCUAAGGCUUUAUUUUUAAAAAAUCAUCCAUUCAGAAAUGUUUUAGAAAAACACAAAUAAUGCAUCGGUAUUUUUUAAUAUAGAAACCAACUCCUGCACGUACUUCUCCAUUUACAGGUGCAUACAGUUCGGUAUGAUGAAUCAUGCGGUAUUUGAUUAAAUAUACAAGCCUGGGUCCCCUUCCUCCAAAGGCUUAUGCGUGUGCUUAACUUAGUGCACAGUGAGUACUCCCACUGAAGUCAAUGUGUGUAAACUCCAUGUAAAGUAAACACAAGUAAGUCUUUGCAAGAUCAGGGCCAGAAUUUCCAUUAACAUUAACCAAAGUGAACAUGUAUAAAGGAGAGAACAGAUCAAAGUUACUCCAGUUUUAUUACUACCAUCUCAGACAAUGAGCAGUACCUGUAAAUUUAUUUGUCCUUCCCACUCUGUAAGGCUGGUGGAAAAAGUCAAGAAAAGGUAUAUAUGUUUUGUUGACUGAAAAUGUGCCAAUUUCACUGUGCAUGCUAAAAUCCAGGAAAUAUAUUUUAUACUUGUUCUGAUUUUAAAAAUAUGUUAAUAAAUUAAAACUUCACAAUUACUUGAUGAUAUGUUAUUUUGGGCAGGGACCUUGUCUUCAUCAUUUAUAUAUACAUAAUCUCGAACCCUGUCAGUGCAAUCUAGAUAUUUAACAGCAUUAGAAAAAACAGGAAGUAAAGUACUAAUAAAUGUAUUUGCUAAAUUACGGUAAGUAAUUUUUCAGACUUUUUUAAAAGAUUUUUUUUUAAUUGUGUGUGAAAUGGCCAUCCCAAUUUCCAUUUAAUUUCCUAUAUGUUCACUACUUGUGUCAGAUUGCUAACUGCUGCAACACUGUUAUAUUAUUAAAGCAGGGCCCAGGGCUGCAUGCAUAGGGAAUUGUGGUUGUUUGUGUGUUUCAGAUUGGGAGUAAGUUUUAUGGGUUUAUCUUCUGAUUGUUGAAGUCUUGGGUUUGACAAUACUGUGGUUUGCCAGUCAGGAUCAAUGCCAAGUCAAAUUGCUGCAUAGUUGCACUAGGCCCCAUCCACUGGUAGCCAUUGUGUGGGUGAUUAUAGUUGGACAUUGCUUCCCAAUUGCAAAUUCAAAUAAUUUCAGGGUAUUACUCACUGCUCUUUAUUGUUUAAUUAAAACACUCUCUGCCCCUCAAAGAAAGCAGUAGCAUUGUAUAUAUAUAUUUAAACAGGGUGAUCCAACCCUAAAAUCUGUUACACGCUAUUGUAA